rnacentral:rRNA from 1 species
AUUGAACGCUGGCGGAAUGCUUUACACAUGCAAGUCGAACGGUAGAGGGGCAACCCUUGAGAGUGGCGAACGGGUGAGUAAUGUAUCGGAACAUGCCCAGUCGUGGGGGAUAACGUAGCGAAAGUUACGCUAAUACCGCAUACGAUCCAUGGAUGAAAGCGGGGUAUCGCAAGACCUCGCGCGAUUGGAGUGGCCGAUAUCAGAUUAGGUAGUUGGUGGGGUAAAGGCCUACCAAGCCGACGAUCUGUAGCUGGUCUGAGAGGACGUCCAGCCCCACUGGGACUGAGACACGGCCCAGACUCCUACAGGAGGCAGCAGUGGGGAAUUUUGGACGAGGGGCGAAAGCCUGAUCCAGCCAUUCCGCGGGCAGGAAGAAGGCCUUCGGGUUGUAAACUGCUUUUGUACGGAACGAAACGCGCUGUGCUAAUACCACGGCGUAAUGACGGUACCGUAAGAAUAAGCACCGGCUAACUACGUGCCAGCCGCCGCCGUAAGAC